rnacentral:RNase_P_RNA from 1 species
GAAGACGGCUGGAUGGUCGCGACAUUGUCGAGGAACGUCCGGACUCCACAGGACACGGUGGUGGCUAACGGCCACCCGGGGUGACUCGCGGGAAAGUGCCACAGAAAACAAACCGCCGCCGGCCACGCCCACGCGGGCAGGGUCAGGCAGGUAAGGGUGCAAUGGUGGUGUAAGAGACCACCGCGUCCCAGGUGACUGGGAACGGCAGGGAAAACCCCACCGGGAGCAAAACCAAGUAGUGCGCAGGGCUGUCCGUCCAAUGCGCACGGGUAGGUUGCUUGAGGCCACUGGCAACAGUGGUCCGAGAUAGAUGACCAUCGAAGGGGCCGCGGUAACGCGCCUGGAACAGAAUCCGGCUUAUAGGCCGUCUUCUCCG